GCCGCGGUAAUACGUAGGUCCCGAGCGUUGUCCGGAUUUAUUGGGCGUAAAGCGAGCGCAGGCGGUUUGAUAAGUCUGAUGUGAAAGCCUUCGGCUCAACCGAAGAAGUGCAUCGGAAACUGGGAAACUUGAGUGCAGAAGAGGAGAGUGGAAUUCCAUGUGUAGCGGUGAAAUGCGUAGAUAUAUGGAGGAACACCGGUGGCGAAAGCGGCUCUCUGGUCUGUAACUGACGCUGAGGCUCGAAAGCGUGGGGAGCGAACAGGAUUAGAAACCCUGGUAGUCC
rnacentral:rRNA from 1 species